rnacentral:lncRNA from 1 species
UAUCUAGGGGUCCCUAUCAUUGGUUGGCAUCUUCGGAGGGCCGAUUGUAAGCCCAUAGUGCAGUAGGUCCAGGAUUGUCUAGAGGGCUAGCAAGCCAACUUUCUCUCCAUGAUGGGCAGGAUGAUGCUUGUGAGAUUGGUCUUGACUUCUAUAUUAGUCUACCUCUUGAUGAACACAAUUGUGCCGAGCUCUUAUCUUAGGCAAUUGGAGUAGUUAUUCUGAAAUUUCCUAUGGGGCUCUAGGUAUGAUGGUCAUGGGCUCUACUUGCUAUCCUGGA